UUUCACUUACACUGCACUCGGCGGGGAUCUUAUUGGAAUCCGAGAAUGAUUUUUUUUGCGUGCGAAGAAAGAGUUUCAGCUCUCCAAUACUCGAGUGUAACAUCCUGCUCCCCUUGUCUCUUUUGCAGGUAGAUGGUCUAAAAGCAGACCCAAGGAGACACGAGGUCCCGAUUAGGCAUACCUAAAAGCAUUUUUUCAAGUUUUAAUAUCUGUACUUCUGAGGUAUUGUAUUUCAUCUUGCUCAGAUUUGAAAUGGCUUCCCCAGGCUUGUCAGCGGGAAAAGGGGAAUGAGCAUACUCCCCUGGAAGUCUGGAACUGAAGUCUGGUUUUCUUCAGGUUUCAGGUCAGCCUCUGAAGACCCACCCUGGGAAGAGAUGAUUGGUUUUAGGAAAAUACAAAAUUCAAGGGAGAUCCUGAUUACAAGGGAGAAGAUCACAUUUCAGGGGUCUGUUCCUGCUCCUGGACAUCAAGGAGGACAGAAGAGGCAGAACUACUGGAGCAAAAAACACGUCAAUCUUUUCAACAUAAUUUGGAAAGGCAGGGGGAGGGUACAAGAGAGAUCCUAAUCUUAAUAUAUAUUAGGUGCUCACAUACAACGGCAGUGGGUGUGGACAGGAAAGCUCAAUAGCCAGCUAGAUGGUAGAUUAGGCAGCUUGUUUGUCUUGAGAUGGUUAGCUGAAAAAGGGCAGGAGAGAAGCAAGGAGGGGCUGGAGUAGAGCGGUGUGAGGUGAGCAGUGGAAAGAGAAGUUCAAGCAAGGUGCAGAGAAGAAAGACUGAAAAAGGGACCAGGAUGGGGAGGGAGGACAGAAACGGGAUGCAGGAAAAAUAACUAAAUAAAUAGAAAGUAUGUGAAGAUGAAAGCCAUGGGAAUUAACCUGGCUCCUA